rnacentral:rRNA from 1 species
AGUGAACGCUGGCGGUAGGCCUAACACAUGCAAGUCGAACGGCAGCACAGUAAGAGCUUGCUCUUACGGGUGGCGAGUGGCGGACGGGUGAGGAAUACAUCGGAAUCUACUUUUUCGUGGGGGAUAACGUAGGGAAACUUACGCUAAUACCGCAUACGACCUACGGGUGAAAGCAGGGGAUCUUCGGACCUUGCGCGAUUGAAUGAGCCGAUGUCGGAUUAGCUAGUUGGCGGGGUAAAGGCCCACCAAGGCGACGAUCCGUAGCUGGUCUGAGAGGAUGACCAGCCACACUGGAACUGAGACACGGUCCAGACUCCUACGGGAGGCAGCAGUGGGGAAUAUUGGACAAUGGGCGCAAGCCUGAUCCAGCCAUACCGCGUGGGUGAAGAAGGCCUUCGGGUUGUAAAGCCCUUUUGUUGGGAAAGAAAAGCAGCAGGUUAAUACCCCGCUGUUCUGACGGGACCCAAAGAAUAAGCACCGGCGAACUUCGG